rnacentral:rRNA from 2 species
CUGUGGCGGCAGCUAUACAUGCAGUCGAGCGAACUGAUUAGAAGCUUGCUUCUAUGACGUUAGCGGCGGACGGGUGAGUAACACGUGGGCAACCUGCCUGUAAGACUGGGAUAACUUCGGGAAACCGAAGCUAAUACCGGAUAGGAUCUUCUCCUUCAUGGGAGAUGAUUGAAAGAUGGUUUCGGCUAUCACUUACAGAUGGGCCCGCGGUGCAUUAGCUAGUUGGUGAGGUAACGGCUCACCAAGGCAACGAUGCAUAGCCGACCUGAGAGGGUGAUCGGCCACACUGGGACUGAGACACGGCCCAGACUCCUACGGGAGGCAGCAGUAGGGAAUCUUCCGCAAUGGACGAAAGUCUGACGGAGCAACGCCGCGUGAGUGAUGAAGGCUUUCGGGUCGUAAAACUCUGUUGUUAGGGAAGAACAAGUACGAGAGUAACUGCUCGUACCUUGACGGUACCUAACCAGAAAGCCACGGCUAACUACGUGCCAGCAGCCGCGGUAAUACGUAGGUGGCAAGCGUUAUCCGGAAUUAUUGGGCGUAAAGCGCGCGCAGGCGGUUUCUUAAGUCUGAUGUGAAAGCCCACGGCUCAACCGUGGAGGGUCAUUGGAAACUGGGGAACUUGAGUGCAGAAGAGAAAAGCGGAAUUCCACGUGUAGCGGUGAAAUGCGUAGAGAUGUGGAGGAACACCAGUGGCGAAGGCGGCUUUUUGGUCUGUAACUGACGCUGAGGCGCGAAAGCGUGGGGAGCAAACAGGAUUAGAUACCCUGGUAGUCCACGCCGUAAACGAUGAGUGCUAAGUGUUAGAGGGUUUCCGCCCUUUAGUGCUGCAGCUAACGCAUUAAGCACUCCGCCCUGGGGAGUACGGUCGCAAGACUGAAACUCAAAUGAACUGACCGGGGGUCCCGCCACAAGCGGCUGGAAGCAAUGGUGGAUUUAAAAUUUCCGAGGAC